GAUGAACGCUGGCGGCGUGCCUAAUACAUACAAGUCGAGCGAACAGAUGAGGAGCUUGCUCCUCUGACGUUAGCGGCGGACGGGUGAGUAACACGUGGAUAACCUACCUAUAAGACUGGGAUAACUUCGGGAAACCGGAGCUAAUACCGGAUAAUAUAUUGAACCGCAUGGUUCAAUAGUGAAAGACGGUUUUGCUGUCACUUAUAGAUGGAUCCGCGCCGCAUUAGCUAGUUGGUAAGGUAACGGCUUACCAAGGCAACGAUGCGUAGCCGACCUGAGAGGGUGAUCGGCCACACUGGAACUGAGACACGGUCCAGACUCCUACGGGAGGCAGCAGUAGGGAAUCUUCCGCAAUGGGCGAAAGCCUGACGGAGCAACGCCGCGUGAGUGAUGAAGGUCUUCGGAUCGUAAAACUCUGUUAUUAGGGAAGAACAAAUGUGUAAGUAACUAUGCACGUCUUGACGGUACCUAAUCAGAAAGCCACGGCUAACUACGUG
rnacentral:rRNA from 1 species